AUCCAACAUAUAAUCAACGUUGUAAUUCUAAUAUUCCAUUGACAUUGACUUUAUGGUUCAGGACAGACAUUGAUUCAUCGUCAGGUUACAAGCAAAAUUCAACUUAGAAAGUAUAUACAAGUCAUGUCUUCAUCUUGGUGAACUUCCAACCACAACUCUUUGUAAUUUCCACGUCGACAUGUGACAUAUAACCAACGUUGUGAUUCUAACAUUCAGCUGACGUUGACUUUAUGGUUGACGAAAGGCGUUGGUUCACCGUCAGGUUACAACCAAAAUUCAACUUUUAGAGCAUAGGAGUCUUCAAAUUAGUGAAUUCCUAACAACUUUUCAAUGUGAUUUAUUGUCGGUAUAGGACGUAGAAGUGACGUUGUAAUCCUAUCGUUGAGUCGACGGUGAAUUUAUCGUGGAAGAAAGACGUUGGUUCAGCGUCAGGUUCCAACCACAUUUCAACGUACAAAAUAGGUCAGUUUUCAGAUCGGUGAAUUUUUAACGAGAUUUCAAUGUGAUUCCAACGUCGAUAUCUGACACAUGAUCAACAUUGAAAUUCUAACGUUGAAUUGACGUCGAUUUUAUGGUGUCCGACGUCAUGACCAAAUUUCUACAUAUUAUCAACGUCGGUUUGACGUCGUGUGCCUGCUGGGUUAUUCCUUAUUCCAACCUGUAUGAAGUUACUGUAAAAGAUAUUAUUUAUGUGAUUAUAUUUAGUAUGCCUAUGUGAAUGAGCUAUGUAGGAAAUAAUGUCGGAAAGUGUGCAUUACUUUAAAUAAGUAGCCUACUAUAAUCGCCUUCAAUGCUACAUUGCUUUUUUUUUUUAAUUGGUGCCUCCCCCCUGGAACAGCUGUUUGUCCGUAUUUUUAUUGGCACAACACUUCAGACACGAUAAUUAGUGCGUGGGGGCCAUCAGUCAGCUGUUAUUAUCGUUAUUAUAUUGAAUGAGACAUCCGAAAUGUUAGCUUUUAAGUCGUUAAAAGUACCCACGAGGACUUUUACAUUUUCAGCGACUCCUAUCAGUUAAGUCGCUUCUUCUAGCAGUAAACUUGGUUUGUCAACAUGGGGCGUGGCUUAGGCAGGCGAGGGGGCGGAGCUUCGGCCGCCAAGACGAGAUGCCAACUAGUCAGUUUCCCUCCGCUCCACAUGCAACCAUCUCUCUUUAUAACCUUAAAAUUGGUGACUCCUAGCAGUAAACUUGCGACUUCUAGAAGUUAGCAGCUAAGUUAGGAGGAAACUCUCUUUGAAAGUUGAAUUUCACUCCUAGGAGUCUUUAUUAAUACCGCCCCAGGUUAGAUUUUCAGGAUCAGCUAAUCUUCAGGUGUAACUACCAUUGAUUUUCAUUGUUGAUUAUAUGCAUCAAAAGAUAGGUAAAGAAUAUGGUUAUGUGACUGCAUUUUUCUCACCCUUUUUUCCCACUAACUUGGUCCUCCUUCCUCUCGUCUCCUUGUGAGGUGAUUGGAACUCCUCCUGUACUCUGUCAUAAAGCUUCACUGCUGGCAGCCCGGGAGUAACAGCACCUGGAAUCAGUUUAAUGAAACAAAUUACAAAUAGAGGAAAGUAAAAGAGCAUAAGCUUGGAAUUACCAUGCAAUGCUCUUAAUUCCACAUGUAAACAGAUUUAUUUUGAAACUGUUGUACAAAGAAUAAAAGGUAGUGCUAUGAUUGCUACCUAUACCAUUUUACAUGUUAAAGAAUAGAAAUUAAUAAAUGAAAAUAUAUAAAUUCAAAUAAGUACUGUGCACACAUUACUGUAUGAUGUAUACCAGGUAUACUGUAUGAUGAAGUACUGAGGGUGGGGUUAUGUCCUGUCUGGGACAUUGAAGUGGGAGUCCUGUUAAUAAUAAGUAGAAUAUUUCACUCGGAGAACACCCUGUUCACCCAGCACCACGCUACCCUACCCCAGCCCACACUGACUGUUUGUGCCUUCCUGCUGCCACAAAUCAAAUAAAAUUGAAAUUAAUGUAAUUAAACUAAACCUAACAUAAGCUAGCCUACCUAACGGGGGGCUUGCGCCCCCUUGACCCCACCCCUAAAGGGGGGUUUUCCCCCUCAACCCCCGUCAUCGCGUGCAAAAAUUCUGAAAUAAGCCUGUAGAUAAGUAACGAAGGAUUUGCCCAAGAAAUUAAUACCACCACUGAAAUCAGCACAACAGUCUGAGAUUGAAGGAGUGUUCUGAAAUUCUCUAUUGAACAACACACUCAGGGUAAAUCUUGACCGAAAUUUACAAUAUAGGAGCGUUCAUCCAUGACAUGAUGUGUAUAUAUGAAGUAUUUUUGUUGCUAUUUAUGAGAUAUUGAGGGCUUGCUGGGGGGUUUCAAGGGUUUCCGGGGGUUUUCAGGUUAACGUACUGCCCAUAUAAUGUUAUAAAUGUUACAGCUGUUAUUAUUAUUAAUUCCUGCAACCAUAAAUAAAAAGCAUACAAGCCAUUACUGUUGUGAUACAGUGAACUUACCGUACCCAACGGUAUUGUUUCUUGCAAGACACUUGAACCACACCAGGACAACUCCACAAAAAGGCACAGAAACCACUUACCACUAAUACACCAGGGGUGCCGGGCUUUCCCCUCCAAGCACCUCCCAGCGUUGCAAUGAUAAUCCUAACAGGCCUGAUAGUAAUACCUAUUUGUAAUCACCGUAGGAGGCGCUUAUCUUUCGAAGGGUUUCAAAAGAAGUGGUCUCUUGAAGUAAGUUCUGGAGGAGUCCUGUUGUCCUCGAGACUAAGUUUAAAUCAGCACUGCCGCGAGUUAAUAUGGGGCGAAAGCGCUGAGGUGUUGCUAGCUUGAGAGCAGGUGAUGUUGUGGGCCAAAAGCCAACACGUGGGUCUGAAGGGGUAUUUUGAAUUUCCCUCGCCAGAUGGCGUGGCUUUCGAUCAGUUAAAUUAUCUUUGCUCUGUAAUUAUAAUUCCGCAAGGGCAAUUAUUUAUUAUUUCAUGAAAGGAAACACUGAACUAUUGUUAUUCCUUUCAUGGUAAAUGUGUUUAGUCUUCAGGCAGUGAAUACGGUGAUACUGUCUCGGUCUGGAAGCCGAUGAGCGAUGUAAGUACCAUCCAAGGCUUGUUUGAGCUCAGACGAUACUCUUAGUUGGCUUGAACUCUUGGCCCGAGACUAGUUCCAUAAGGGAAAUAUUUAAUUUGUCUAAUCCCCUGGUUAACUGACCUAAUUCCUAACAUUACAGGGGGUGGUGCUUUUUACAGUAAAUUUCCCACAAAUCCCCAGCCAUUGACCUAGUCUAAUUUAGAAGUGUUCUAGGCCUAGGCCUACCAAUAUUAAAGGGAGGCUGUAUAAAUAGCCUGAGAAUUCAUAUAGUUACAGCACUGUAAAUCUAGCCACUUUGAAUACUAAGACUUUACUCACACUCUCACCCAUAAAAACUCAUUAACUUUUUAAAAAUUGGCAGUGGAGUUUUUAGCCGUUUGCGAUGCACAUAUAUGGCAUUCAAAAUGCAUAGAAUAAUGAGAUCUAACCCAUGGUUAGGGUAAGAAGUACCACAGUGAGACGGGGAACGUUAUGAAAUACAGGUAACUCGAUUUACGCGAGUAUUGUGUCCUUGAAGAGGUCGCGCAGAUCAAAAACAAUGUAAAUCAAACAGGAGGUAGGUUUGUACCUUUAUUGCCCACUGUAUCACUCUGCCUCCUCUCCCUCUCGUGGUUCCUCCUCUGGCUGCCCUUUCCCUCGUGGUAGCACAGCAGUGAGGGUGUUGUUAUUGUUGAGUAGCGUGGCAGGGAGGGUACUGUAUUGUUGUUCAAGUGUCGCGCGGGAACAACUGAGCUCAGCUGUGUGGCCGCGGCACCGUGUGAGUCCAGUUGCGUGAGACAUCUGGUGGCCACUCCAUAAAAUAUCUUGUAUAAGUGAAAAAAACGUGUAAAUGAAACAUUUAUUUUGAUUUUGAACCCUGCGUUAUUUAAAAAACGCAUAAACCAAACUCGCGCAAAUCGAGUUACCUGUAAUACCUGCGGGUAUUGUUGGGUAUAUACCCCAAGGUUGGGGGGCAGUGCAUGCUGCACAACCACCCAGACAGUAAUAGAUAAGCCCAAUGCCAUAAGUUUAAGGCCAACACUCAGGCUGGGGUGAAGGAAAGAUCCCGGGGGCCUAUCCUCUCCACCUCAAAGGGUCAGGGUGGGGCUCUAACCUAUGCGAUGCAACACCCUGGCAAGCCAGUGUCACUGAGCCACUGAGGCCCAUUCUCUCUAAGUUAUAUAUAGAUUUGCGGUACCUACGUACCUAUACGUACACUAGCGUAUUUAACAUACAGUAUACCAAGCCUGGGUUCACAAAAUUUUCAAAGUGACUCAUGGCCACCCCUACCCCUGCACUAGUUUUCGAGAUAACCAUUAAAGCACCAGUAUAAUUUCAUAGUUUAGUAGACCACAGUGAACAUGAUGCUUGCAUCUAAUGGUACGAAUCAAAUUACAUACCUUUGUUGGGUGAAAUGCGGUAUCUGUUGCUCACACCACAAGUGACCAGUCUUGUUGUUGCUAUGGGCUGAGGCAACUAUUCACUUACAUGAUCUCUGGUGUUUUCCUGAGAGGGCUUCACAGGCGCGUCUUCCUGAGGAAGGUGCAGGUGGGGCGGGUGGCCGCUACUUCCUGCCGUGAGGGGUGGACGCCUGCCGCUGCCAGCAGGGUGGGCAGGUCGAAGGAGGGCAUGUCCAGGACACGGAGGUGGUGUCAUGGCAGCACCCACUGGGAGUGGAGGUGGGGCAGUGCAGCAAGUGCUCAGUGGUCUCCUUGACGGUCCUGCACCAGGGUCAGUGAGGGUCGGGGGCCAGGCCAGGCGGUGGAGGUGACCAUUGUGAGGCCCAGGCGGAGGCCCGUACGUCAGGGCCACCACGUCUGAGACGCAAUACGUUAUCCUCACCCACAGCUGUGUGGAGGAGUUGAUGAUGCUGGCCCAUGGAGGUGGUGUGGAGGGCGGUGACCAGUGACCAGAAGUCCACCAUUAGCCCUGCCUGCUCAAACCUAACUGCAUGCCAUGGACCAAUACAAAACAAAGCUUCAAUGCACUUUAUCAUUUUGUAAUAUGGCAAUAAUAUAAUGAUACAGAAAUUUUUUUUUUAAGAGUAUGGCAACUGACACUUAAACAUACAUCCAUACACAUAUUUUACAUAAUAUGACUUGAGAUACUACUUUCUUGUGUGGAUGUAUAUAUGUGUACUGUGAUCCUUAAGCCCGCCAAGUUUAAAGUGCGAUUUGCCAAUGAUCACGCACAAUUUGAUGGCAUUUUUCAUAAGUUACCUAAUAUAAACUAUUAAAUAGUGUGUGUAUUGUAAUUAUAUAUGCUUAUGUUGGUUAUUUGGAGGCAGACGUUCAAAGUACAUGAAACAAACAGUUUUCUGCUAUACGCAGGACGCAAACUCGAAAAAUAACUAUCACACGCCCUAAACAAACAUUUCAUUUAGGGUUUGCAAGAGUUUACUUCUGUGCUGGAGGCUUAUAUAUAUUUUUUUACCGCACGUACCAUUUUUACGUAGUCAUUGAAAAUAAAUAUAUUUCAACAACUUAAAUUAUAACUGUGUAGUGCUAUAUAAAAAUAUAGUAUGAAUUACAUUUUAAGGAAACCAGUUUAAUUAGCUUGAAAAAGAUUGAUUGAUGGUGUAUUGUUGCAAAGUUAUACAAAAAAGGAGAAGAGAGGAACCUGCCAUCCCAUCCCCUGGGCAAUACGUAGUGUGACUGUACAACUAUUGAUAUUGUAACGUCUUUUUUUUAAGGGCAAUGCUACAUUCCUUCUGACGGCCACUGUUUAGAUGGUAAUGUGGUAGCGGGGUGGUUGUCUGGCUAUUUCCAAGUGGUUGUCAAUGAUGUUGAGACAAGCCUCAGGACAAGUGAACACUCGUUCUGGGUUGUGAUGUGCAGUAAUGAUGGAAGGGGAGUGGAUUCCCGUGUGAACCACUCUGAGACAACGUUUAGUUAAGGGGGGAGUGGUGAUAAUUCACUAAUGUGCGUGUGUGGGUGUGUGUUCAGUAAUGCCCAAAUGGCAGGUUGACAGGCUUAAAAUUAUAGCACUUACAGUAACUUAACAACUUUUCUUGUGUAUGAAUAUAGUUACAGCCCCUUGGCAGUUAGCGGAGUGACAUUUUUAAAUGAAUACAUACAUAAAUGAAUAUUAUUGAACUUAACUAACUAUCUAUCAGGGAGAUUGGGGAACAUGUGAAUGUUUAUCUGUAUUGAAGACCCUUGAAGUGAUGACUGGUGCAGGAUGAAGGCACUGGUGCGAGUGAGGUGCUGGCGGGUGUAGACUGCCAGGGCCGGUAACUGUAGCAGCGUUGUUGACGAGGCUAGGGUUGUGUUGUUUAAGAGCUGAGACGUGGUUGAAGAGGCCGUGGAGGUGGUUAUGAGCUGAGCGUGAUUGAAGAGGCCAAGGAUGGGGUUAUGGGCUGAGCGUGAUUGAAGAGGCUGAGGAUGUGGUUAUGGGCUGAGUGUGAUUGAAGAGGCCGAGGAUGUGGCUAUGGGCUGACUGUGAUUGAAGAGGCCGAGGAUGUGGUUAUGGGCUGAGGCGUGUUGUGGUGCUGCUUCUGUCCUUCUUGUUUCGCUUUGCCAAAUCGUGCUUUGUUUCGCCUUGCCUUGCCUUGCCUUGCCUUGCCUUGCCUUGCCUUGCCUUGCCUUGCCUUGCCUUGCCUUGCCUUGCCUUGCUGUGCUCUGCUGUGCCUUGCCUCGCCUUUGCCGUGCUGGUGGUGGUUGGUGGUGUUCACAGGGCUGUGAUGGAUGGUCAAGCAAAACGUGCGUCCUGUUGACGGCUCUUCGGCUCCUUCUCUCCCCGUGUGCCUCGCCUUGCCUCCAUUCACACCCUCAUUCACACCAAUAAUCUCUACUUAUCACACACACUUGUUCACCCGUCCACACAGUCGCUCACUUAAUUGCUCGUUUGUUGUAAUGUAGUCAUUCACUCACUUGCAUUCCAUACUAACUCACUCAAUACACAUUUGUACCGUUACAAUAUAUUCACAUUCAAACUUUAUUUUUUGUCCUCCAGCCCAUAAUUUGAACAAAGAAAACUUUAGAAUUGAUGGUACAUGUACCACUAAAGCAAUAUUCUUUGAAAAAAAUAAAAAUAACCUUAACUAGUCCUUAUAACAUUGUCACAUUUUUUGUUGCUGUUAGCUGCAACAAUCCAUUCUACUUACAUACAGCAUCUAUACAUUACUGGCAUAAGCACCGUAAAGAAGCAUAUUGUUGACUGUUGGCGAAAAUUUGACUAAAACCUUUUAGAACAUAUAACUAUUUUUAUGUGCAUAAUGCAGUGUGCAUUUUUAAGCUCUAGCUUAAAAAGGCACACUGCAGUAUGCAUAUGAAAAUAAUACGUGAGAUAAAGCUCAGAGAAAAGAGUAUGUAGAUUAAAAAAAAUAAAAAAAUGUAACUGAUAAUAACAUCACACCACAGCAUUUUAAAAUUGGUUGGAAAAUUUGCUGUUUUUACAUGACCCAAUAAAUAUUAUUUACAUUAUAUUGAUAACAUUUUCUCAAAAUUAUUACCCAUUCAUGUGUCCUACCUAUCAUGUUUAGGUGUUUUUAAUGCAAAAAAUAAUGUCUCCGGUCUUGACACAAGACAAGGCUUCUUUUUUUGAGUUACUGAUAUAUCAGCAACUUCAAAAAAUAUCAGUUACUGAUAUAUCAGUAACUGAUAUAUCAGCAACAUGGCGGCAGAAAUUAAGAGGUAAAAGACUGUCAUUAAGAAAGCUGAUGAAAUGGAGAGACUUAGACUUUACACUGUCCAAGAGAGCUGUGUGUGUGUGUGUGUGUGUGUGUGUGUGUGUGUGUGUGUGUGUGUGUGUGUGUGUGUGUGUGUGUGUGUGUGUGUGGAGCCCCCUAAGGCAUAAGAUGUAUACUCCAUACAAGGGCGGACAAGACUCUUGUAUAUGGAUAACAUCUAGAAGGGGGAAAAGAACUGGCGGAGACAAUACAGAAUGCCCAACCUUGAGGAAGCUGAUUUAGUGAGAGAAGAGAUAUGAUGUUUUGCAGGUGAGGUUUUGAGUUAAGGAUAGACCGAGGAUGUUUUUUGUAGAAGGUGAUAGUUGUGUUGUUGAAGAAUAGGGGAUAGGCGUUUGGAAGAUUGUAUUGAGUUGAUAAGUGGAGAAAUUUGUUUUUUGAGGCGUUGGAAGGACACUAAGGGCCGCUUUCAUGGUCACUUUGUUUGUUAUGAUCGUUACCAAUUGUGGCGAUCACCGCUAUAGAAUGUCCACUUAAAACUGGCCGAUGGGGUAGUGGCGGCUGUGGGGUUAUCCCAGCCCCGCUCCUCACCACACACUCUCAACACCUCUUGCUUCCUCUGCAGCCGUCACUACCCCAUAGGCCAGUUUCAUGUGAAAAACUAUAGUGUUGAUUGGCGCCAUUGGUAACGAUCAAAACAAACAAAACGACUGUGAAAGCAGCCCUAAGUUCUUCUUGUCCCAAUCAGAAAUGAUAGUAAGGUCUGAGGUUAAGCGUUUUGCAGCCUCCAGCCUUGAGUCAUGUAGUUCCUGUUGGGAGGAUUUUCUAUUAGAUGUUGAAUAAUGCAGAUUAGAGUCAUCAGCAUAGAAAUGGAUAGAACAGUUUGUUUUGGAAAAAGAUCAUCAAUGGACAAAGAGAGUGGGAGAUUGGACAGAGCCCUGCAGGACACCACCUUUGAUAGGUUUUUGGGAAGAACACUGAUUGUUUACCACUACUACUCCUACUGUUGUGAAUUCCUAGAGUCUUCAGUGCAUUGGUGUUCAUGUCACCUUCGGCGUCCUCCAUCCCGAUCUUUGGCUGUUCUAAAUCAUUCUCUCAUUACCUUCUCCAUCACAGCUGUAGUAGCAUUCCUGUAUUCAAAAUGCCUAUGGGUACAUUCUGGAAAUUAAUCAGUCAAAGACGGGGACAAGCCAGCAAAGGGUGCGGGCAAGCCAGCCAAGGACGUGGGCAAGCCAGCCAAGGACGUGGGCAAGCCAGCCAAGGACGUGGGCAAGCCAGCCAAGGACGUGGGCAAGCCAGCCAAGGACGUGGGCAAGCCAGCCAAGGACGUGGGCAAGCCAGCCAAGGACGUGGGCAAGCCAGCCAAGGACGCGGGCAAGCCAGCCAAGGACGGAGGAGUACCAAGGGGGCCGUCUUAACAUUUUCAUGGUAUCCACAUGCAUGUAGCUGACACAACACUGAUCGGUUUUAAUUUACACUACUUGUUAAGACAUUUCAGGUGAUUUUUACGUGCUGUGUGUGGAACCGUAUCUAGUUUCCCUUAGGCUGUUGAAUUUUAUUCAAGUGUGUGUGGAUGUUUAAUAUUUUUCCUGAAUUGUGAACAUUGUUCGCAUUUUAAGUAUAGUCAUUCAUUUUGUUUUCUCCUUUCUUGUGUGUGUUUUGUUGCACAGUGGAGAAGGUAGUUUUAUCAUGCUAAGUAUUCACUCAUUAUUCUUUUCCCUCUUUUUAAUGCGAUUUGGAAGCAUCUGGGGUGAGUGAGCACACACCUAGCGGUGAAUGAUCAUUACCUUUAGUGCAGUUUAGCGGUAAUACUUUUCCUUUUACCAUAUUCCUCCUCAUGAAGCCUUAAUUUACUAAUGCCUCUUUUUAAAUGGCAGAGAAACCUGACCCGGAGUUAGAAGCUUUGGCCAAGGUAUAUCAGAAGUUGGUAAAGGAGUCGGAAGAGACCGAUGAGGAUGAGAGAGUUCCUCCUCCUCCUCCUCCUCCUCCUCCUUCCCACCUGCAUCAUAACAAAGGUACAGUGAGCCCAGUGUGAUGAUGAUGACCCAGCCCUCGGUGUCUUGGCCCAUGCUGUCUCCACACCACCAGUUGGCAUUCUGAAGAAGAAUGAAUAGAGGAAAUGAAAGUGAAUGCAUCUAAAUACCAUGUAAUUUAUAAAUGCAUGAUUAAGAAAAUAUAUGGAUGUGUGUAUGUGAAUGUCUGUAUGUUGGAUAAGCUUUCAUGCAGUUAUGCAUGAAUGCAUACAUGUUUGCAUAAAUGUAUGUAUGUUUGCAUGUAAGUGUGCCUGGAGCUUUUUGCAUUUAACCUUACCUAACUGAACCCAAAUACCAGUGUCCUUGUCCCUGGCCUACUCUGCCAGUGGAAAAUUAUUGGAGUGAUGAAUAGCACUGAUACUACGAUCGCUACCUCUACUAUUACAGCUACAACCAGUAACAUGAACAAUCAAAAUAAUAAUUAUAAAAAUAAUAGUACCAUUAAUAAUAACAGGAAUAGGAAGAACAAGAACACUAAUAAUAAUAAUAAUAGUAAUUAUAAUGAUAGUAAUAAUAAUAAUAAUAAUAAUAAUAAUAAUAAUAAUAAUAAUAAUAAUAAUAAUAAUAAUAAUAAUAAUAACUAACAAAAUCAGUAACAAAAUCAAUAAUAAUAAUGAUGAUAAUAACAACAACAACAACAACAACAACAAUAAUGACAACUGUGGUGUAGAGUCAUACUCUUGAUUUGGUUUGUCUUGGCUUUGUUGACAUUCACAGGGUUGCUUAAUUUUGACACAGUAUUGUGUCUUUUUUUUUAAACUGCUUGUUGGGAUCUGUUCCACCCAAAUUUUUUUUUAAGUAAUUGAUGAUGUCAUUUUUGAAAUUGGACAUUGUUUGAAUUAGUAAAGUUUUUCCUGCACCUUUGAAUGUCGGUAAUUGUGAAAAAUGAGAUAACGUGGUCCCCUUGUAUUUGAAUUAUGGGGAGUGUUUCUUCCUUGAAUAUGGCCAUUUUCCCAUAAAAUCUGUCAUGUUGUCUUGUUGCCAUCUUGUUUUUGCCUUCAGAAAUCAGGAUUUCAAGAGAUCUAUUUCUUUUUCUUUUGAGCUGUUCUGCCUUGUAUUGCUUCUUUGGUUUUCCUUGGUACUUACACUAAGAUGCUUCACUUAGUUAGUCUGUUUUAGCAAGCAUUUGGUUCUGUGCAUGUGUAGAUCAGGACUGGGCAGACCAAAUGAAG